GACGAACCGUGCGAACGUUAUUCGGAAUCACUGGGCUUAAAGCGCGUGUAGGCGGGAGGGUACGUCCGUCGCUGAAAUCCCCCGGCUCAACCGGGGAACGGGCGCGGAUACGACCUUCCUGGAGGGGCGUAGGGGGACCUGGAACUUCCGGUGGAGCGGUGAAAUGCGUUGAGAUCCGGAGGAACACCAAAGGCGAAGGCAGUGUCCUGGGGAGUACCUGACGCUCAGGUGCGAAAGCCAGGGGAGCGAACGGG
rnacentral:rRNA from 1 species